AGAAAAUAAAAGAAAAGACGAAGGAAAAGGUAGAAUUAGUACGGAAAACUUCCUAAUAUGCGUACGAUCGAACGUAAGUACAAAUACGUAGGUAUGUGAGGAACCAUUUGCAUAAUUCGCGUGCAUAUGUAAGUCGAUAGUUCAAUAACUUUGCGGUGUUUACUUGCAUGCGAAUUUAUUCGAUCGGAGUCCCUUUAGCGGCACGAUCUUUCUCCGCACCACGACGAACACAUUAAACUCAUUCUGACUGGUUUAAAUAUGUAAGUGUGUGCAAUUUGGUCCACAACAUACCGGCACUUUUGCGCUGGUAUGAAUCAAUAUCGUAGUGGAUAACAGUCACAGUUUUCUUAUCAAAUUGGGAUAACAAAACCAGAUAAGCGUAGGUAUAAAGGAUAGUUUAAUAAAGCAUAGGUUUGAACAGCAUAGGCUUUUUGGCCUUUCAAAUUGGCAAUAUUUUUAUAUUACUAAUCAAGGAAUGUGCCUCACGACACGUCUUAGACUUGAUAGGGGAGAGAGUAAACGACAUAUGCGUCGUGCGUCGCAUUAGUAUAUGCACGUAAUACACGUGUACGUGUACCUACAAUAUAGGGAGUGUAUCUAACUACAAACAGAACUGGUGGAGAUCAUGGGGAUAAACGAUCGGCAUAAUGUUUACUACCUUAUCCAUUUAGGGAUUGCAUUUAUUUAUUUAAAAACACAUAGAUAUUUAUGAUAUGUUUGACUUCAUUGAGUAUAGAGUAACUUUAAACUGCCACAGACUAGCCAAAACUGAUCAUUGGCAAAGAAAGAUUUUAGUUAAUAGCUGUCGAAGUGCUUAUAGCAAACUAAGCUGAGAAGCAAAAAAAAAACAAUAUAAUCUUAUUAAAUCCUACACAAAUUUGUCGAGCUCCUCUCCUCUCCUCUUCUUGGCGUAACGUCCUCACUGGGACAAAGCCUGCUUCUCAGCUUAGUGUUCUAUGAGCACUUCCACAGUUAUUAACUGAGAGCUUCCUCUGCCAAUGACCAUUUUGCAUGCGUAUAUAUACGUAUAUAUAUCGUGUGGCAGGCACGAAGAUACUCUAUGCCCAAGGAAGUCAAGGAAAUUUCCUUUACGAAAAGAUCCUGGACCGACCGGGAAUCGAACCCGUCACCCUCAGCAUGGUCAUGCUGAAUACCCGUGCGUUUACCGCCUCGGCUAUAUGGGCCCUAUAUUUGUCUAAAUUUGUCGAGCUAAUUUAUUUAAAAAUUCUCAGCUGUUUCUGCUGAGAUUUGUUUGAAAUAUAAAAACAGGGGCUCAUGAUAUAUAUAUAUAAGUCCUCCAAAAGUCUCACCAAAAAUUCCCCUGCUUCAGAAUGUUUUCCUGAAAUUUCUACAAAUCCGCCCGGUAUAUAGGGGUAGGUGGGGCAAUAUGGACACCCUAAGGUUUUUGCCAACUUUACCUGGCAAGAUGUCAAACAAGUUUAGUUUUUUGAUACAUGUAUCCUUCUAAAGUCUAUUUAGCAUCUAUUGCAUAAGAAUGCUCACGAAGAAAAAUUAUUUAUCCACUUCAAAAAAUGUUUUGAAAAAUGUUAGUUUUUCAUGACCGUCUUCAAGCAUACGGGGCAGAAUGGACACCCCCCUGGGGCAAUAUGGACACCAUGAGACUUUUACGAAUUUCGUACAUUAUCUACAUCUAUAAAGUGAUUUCAUUACAAAACAACUUUUAUGGAUGAAUAAUACGCCGCAGUAGUUCAUUUUUGUUCAGUUGAUUUAAAUUCAGGCUGUUUUGGAUAAAACUUCGUUUUUGUCGGCAUGUACAGCUGUGCCUAGAACAACUAUUUUCCACUUCUGUCGUUUUUUGACCAAUUUGUUUCACCCUAUGUCUACUAUAGUGAACAUUUAACCGAAAAUAUACUGAAAUCGAAGAAUAUGGUUGGUUUGUGAUUUAGGUUAUAUUUUUCCCUUGCCGCUUCUUUCAAAAAGGUGAGUGUCCAUUUUGCCCCGGCAGCAGAAGAUAUUUCCAAACUUGAUUUUUGUAUAAUAAAGAAGAAAAUAUAAACAUGUUAAGCAUGUAGAUACAGCAAAACUACUUGCAUGUGUUCUAGAAAUAUUAGGUUUUAAUCGACCUGCAAUAAAUGAUUCACUAAAUCUUAUUUUAGAUGGUGUGAAAAUUAUAAUUUCCAUGCACAAAAAACGGAUGACGCAACUUUUUCGUGUAAAAUCAAGUAUAAUUUUAAUUUCGAAUGUUUCUUUCCUGAAACUACGUUUUAGACAAAUGGACUAUAUUCUCCAUUCAUUAAAAGUUCAAAAAAGUUUGCAUAUUUCAAAAUAUUGAGGGUGUCCAUUCUGCCCCGGGUGUCCAUAAUGCCCCGCCUACCCCUACUUAUCUAAAAAUGUGGUUGUCCUUUGUCUCAUAAAUCUUUCUUGGACUUCUGCUAAAAAACCUUCUAAUGUAUCAGAACUCAGGGCAAGAUAUUUCCUUAAUGUUGAAAAACCACUUUGAUUGGAAUGGCUUCGGUACGUUUCCACUCACUACAGUCUUGGAUCGAUGUUAUCAUCCCCGGUGUUAUCAGUUUUUAACCGAUUUCAUCACUAUCUGAGAUUUUAUAAGUUGUAGUGUAGAUUAGAGAUGGUCGGGUCUCAGAUUUUACAGGCCCGCACCCGACCCGUACCCGAAUUUUAACCUAACCCGUACCCUACCCGAACCCGAAAAAUUUUCUUCGAUCAAACCCGAACUCGAGGGAAAUAUUGCUCAAUAAACCCGACCGAAACCCGAGUUUAAAAAUGGUUGUUAAAUGUAUAGUGUAAGGCAACUAGAGUAUUUCUGGCGUUCGAUUUGAAUAGGUCGAAUGUUUGCUGUGAUUCCUAUGUUGAAUAGGUCAAAUCGAAUGCCAGAUUUUAUGAAUAUUGAUUUAUUUUUACUGAUGACCAAACCCGACUUGAACCCGAGUUUAUUCAAACCCGACCCGACCCGUACCCGAAAGUUUUGAGAUUUUCAAGCCUGAAUCCGACCCGUUCCCGUCGGGUAAGGGUUCGGGUUGGGUUUCGGAUCUAAAAACCUGAAACCCGACGACUAUCUCUAGUGUAGAUCGACUGUCCUGCCGUGAAUCGCAUCAGUCCCAUGUAUGCUGGAUUUCCUACGCAAAAGGCACAUAUAUACGAUUCACGGCAGUGUCCAUACUAGCAGAAUUCGAUUGCUGAUACUUUCACUUCUUGUUUAUCUUUAUCUUGCAGUCAUUACGGCCUUAAGGUGACAUAGCUUGUGUUACACAACAGCAAUAGGACACUGGACUAAUAUCUGGACGCAAGUAUCCGGAGCUAUCUCGAAAAUAUGUUAUUCUGUUCUGUUAUUCUGUUAUAAUCAACGCAAUCUAGAAAAUAUGUUAUUGAAAUAAAAAAUGUUUUGCACUCAAAAUUUAGGAUAUUUGUUGCACUUUAAAAAGAAAAUGGCGUUGAAAUUAUUCCGACUUGAUUUUAAUAAGAUCUCAAAACUUUCUUUGAAUACCACUAAUCAUGUCUUUAGUCGGGCCCGUGGCGCAGUGGCUACACGUUCGCUUCAUAAGCGGAUGGUCAUGGGUUCGAUCCCAGCCCCGGCACUUCGUCAGUUGCUCUUCCCCCCGAGAGCGGCUGGCACUUGACCCUCUUCUGAGCUCUCAUAGCUCAAACGGAACCGGAUAAUUGGAUAUCGGCGAACGGCAACCCAUAAUGGACGACCCCCAAUCGAACUGGAAAAGGAACAACAGCCACACAUCAUUUCAUCAUCGUGCUCAUCAUUCUACCAAAGACAGGGUAGGAAAGUGAAAGCAGCACAGAGGCAAACCAGUUCGAUAUACAGGGUGGCAACGUGAAAAUGAUACACUAGUUUGGCAGCCAUACGUUGCCAUUCAUGCUAUUGCAUUGAAGACAAGUGUGCUUGGGGAAACGGGAUCUUAGAUGUGGUUUUUUUUAAGAAACAAAGGAUUCACGGAUCUACUCUGAAGAAUAUUUCCGACAGGGUUGCCAGAUCUCGCGUUCUGCUCAAGACGCACGCUGCUCAAAACAUUUUUUUUUUCGGACGAAAGUUUUUCACUUUGGAAGCGUCUCUGAAUAAACAAAAUUAUCGUGUGUAUAAAGCAAGUCAUCGUGAAAUUCCUGCCGACAAACGAGAGGUUCAACGAUAUCGAAGUGCUACAGCGGUGAUGGUUUGGGGCACCAUAUCAACAAAUGGCCAAUUACCAUUGUUGUUCAUCGACAGGGCCAUAAAAAUCAACAAAGAGUACUUUUUACAACACGUCAUCAAAGAUCACCUAUUCCCCAGUGUCAAAAAACUUUUUGGAAAAGAAAAUUUUUGUUUUCAGCAGGACUCAGUACCGACGCAUAAGGCAGUGGUUGUUGAACAGUGAUGCAAGCAAAAUUUACCGUGCUUCAUCAGCUCAUCGGAAUAGCUGGUUUCGUCUCCCGAUUUAAACCCACUGGACUUUUGUACAUGGGAAUACAUGCUAGGGAACCUGGGCGAUGCGAAGAACUUGGUUUUGGAUACCUUCAAAAACCGUUCGGUAAAAAUUUGGGAUGAAAUGCCGGACGAAGAGGUGCGCGCGACUUGUAAUGACUUCGAAAAGAGUCUGCGGACCGUAAUUCAAAACAAAGGGGAAUGAUUCUAAUUGAAUUAAAUACUUUGUAAGUUUAAUACUUUGUAGUGUUAUCAAAAGUGAAUUUGCAGAAAAACUAAAUCCUGUUUGAAUUUUGCAUCAGUUUUCGAGUGUAUCAUUUCUACGUUGCCACCCUGUAGUAGAAUAAGAAUAUAAUACAUUUAGGCACUGUACAAAGUGUAAGAGCAGCCGCCAAUUGGAAUCGCUCACGUAGUGCCCUAGUGGACAAAAGAGCUGUAAAAUAUGUUAAGUGGUUAAUAAUAAAAAAAAUAAUCAUGUCUUGAACACUCCGUUGAUCAACUUCGGUGGCCAUUUUCUUCCACCAUAUCUUCAUCUCCGUUGCAUCCCUAACCACCUCUCCACUCUUGUUUCAUUUUAGCUUGACAAUUGCCCAAAAUGUCACAAUUGGGAGGACCUGAGGACAAUUUGGGAAAUUAUUCUCCUUUUUUCUUGAAAUCCACCUCGUUGCCUCGGUACAACUGUAACAAUUCUCCACUGUAGUGGCAGCUUGUAAAAUAAGGCCAAAAAUUCAUAGAUCCAUUGUGAGCUAUAAUGAACGAAAAAACACAGUUUUUCAAGCACUCCUGCUUGUAAAUUUUGGAUUUCUAGGUCUUGUUUGUCACGUAAACUUUGUUUUUUUUUGUCUACAGCUUCGAAUACCUUAUCAAAUCAGCAGUUUCCUUGCAAAUUCAUCGGUAAAAACAAAUUCAAACUUGCUAGAGACAUCACCCCGACCUGUGGUUUUAAAGAUCUUUUGUCCGGAAAGCUGAUCCUAGUCCAUUUCACGUACGUUUUAUCCUCCCUGAAAAUGCAUCCCCUUGUGUAUCUCACGUACUUUGUCAGAACCUCGUCAUACAACUUCCGGGCACGUGUUUUGGUCACUACACUAGGUUAUGCUUUAGUUUAGUAUCCUGUUUGGCAGCUUACUGGCCCGAAACUUUCUCGCAGAUGAAUUCUCCUGGCGGUACUUUGACUGGCAUUGUUUUUUUUUUUUGACGGCAUGGUUAUCCGACUGCCUAGGAUUUGCCCUAAAUGUUCUUAACACCUUCAAAUGCAACUUCCGAUCCUUAGUUUCACUAUAACGCUUGUUAUGAUCCUGCCAAUCGAUAGUAUGUCCCUGACGGAAACGUUUGAGAACGCUGCACACGAUCGAUUUGGCCAAUUUCAACGAUUUCGCAAGUUUUGAACCUGAUCACGGCGGAUUUUCGAAGUGAGUGUCCAAAACUAAUUUUCGGUUCGCAACGUCUAUCACACACACUUAAUCCCGUGCUCGAUGUUCGGUACUUUUUAUUGCGGAUAACUUCGUCAAUGAUAUUAAAUUGCUGUGCCCUCGGUUAUAAAACUUUGCUUUUGACGACAACAGCAAGAUUUUUGCUGAACUUUUGUAAUUUAAAAAAAAAAUUAACUGUAUUCAGAUAUUUUUCGUACCGAAGUGUUCGGUAAAGACGAACUGUCAAAAAACUUCGGUCGGUGACAUAUUGCUGAACAGUCGGCAUACAUACUUUCUCAUGCUGAACGUUCAUCAAUUUUCUGCCGAACAUUCCGCUAGGUUUUACUGAACAGAUUGUAGAACAUCUGUCGCUAGUUGAAUGACUAACAAUGGCUCCGCCAUUUGUUAUCAUAGUGUGUUUUUGUGCGCAGCAACGUCGACAACACUGCCGAUUAGGAUUCUCUGCAUUUUUGACUAUCAAAAAGGAAGUUUAAAGAUUUUUCAACGAUAAACGUAGCGUCGGCAUCAGCAGGAUGCCAGACAGGAUGAAUCAGCUGCGAACUAAAUGUUCUCGAAAGGCAGGAAAACAACCAGAACGUUUCAAAAUUUUGUUUCAAAUGUAGAAAAAUAAAGGGAAUAAUGGAACAAAACUGUUUAAAACAUGUUUUUAAUGAGAAAUUCUGAUAAAAAUUGCUUGGAUAUCAAGCUACGUCACUUUCAUAUUGUUGCUGAAUGAACCUCAAAAAAGUACUGAACGGUCGUCACAAGUUUACAAACUAUUCGGUACUUUUUGACAGUUCGAAAAUCUUUCUUGACUACCGAGUGUUCAGCAUUCGUUUUAAUUACCGAAACGAUCGCCGAACGUUCAGCUGUUCUAAUUUCGACAAAAAUAUUACUGAGUUCGGUAAAGAUGAGUUAGUGUGCAUGUAACUUAUUCGAAACAAAACAAAUCGUGACGAAAUUUUCAGCAUUGAAGGGGGCAGCAUUCCGAAACAAACUGCUGUCAAAAUUUUUCAUAUCCGAUCACUAGGAGCGCUGCCGUAAAUUAAACGAUGCAUAGCAUAGUAUAGCCGACCGUACACAUCCUGGGGUGGCUGUCGAUAGAGACGUUCUACGCGCCAGAAAAGUUGCCUGGGACUUGACAAACCUUUCAUUUAACGAACUCUCGACACCUGGCCAAGUCCUAACGAUCAGCGGGGAUGGGGAGGAAAUGUUGAUUAGCUAUCUACUCAGAAUAUGUCCAAGAACUUGGCCCACUUCAUAGAUACAGUAUGCGGCAGGAAAAAAUGCGAAAAUGUUUUUCAACUUUAAACCUCGUUUUCGUCCAUUUGACGUUAACCAAUCUACGAGGAAUUUUUCCAGGAACUCCUCUACGAAUUCCUCUAAGAAUUAACCCAUGAAUUUCUCCAGGAAUUCCUCCAGCUAUUUCUCCUGAGGUUCCAUCAGGAAUUGCUUCAGGAAUUCCUGCAAAGAUUUCUCCACGAAUUUCCAGGAAAUCCUUCGUAGAUUCCACCAGGAAAUCCUCCAGAAGUUCCUCUUAAGAUUAUUCCAGGAAAUUCUCUUUGGAAUUCUUCAGAAACUCUUCCAGGAAGUUCGCCAGGAAUACCUUCAUGAAUUUAUCAUGGGUUCCCCCAGGUAUUCCUCCAAGAAUUCCUCCAGGGAUUUCUCCACAAAUUUCUUUAAGGAUUCCUCCAGGGAUUUCUUCAGAAAUUCCUUCGAGGAUUUUUCCAGGAGUUCCGCUUAAAAUCCUCCAGAACUUUCUUAAUGGAUAUUUUCAGAUAUAGAAAAAUAACAGAAAAAGAAAUAGAAAUCUCUCAGAAUUCCUCUAAAAAUGCAACCAAUAAUUCUUUCACGAAUUCUUCUAGAGAUUCCUCCAGCAAUUCCCACAGGAAUAUACCUGGAAAUUCCUCCAGGCAUUCCUUCAGGAAUUUAACCAGGGAUUUCAUAAGGAUUUUUUCCAAGCAUUUCUCCCGGAAUUGCUCCUAGACAUCCUUCAGAAAUUCCUCAAGGAAUUUCUUCAGGAAAUCCUCCAAGAAUUUCUUCAGAGAUUCUUCCAGGGAUACUUUAAUUUCAGGAAUUUUUCAGGCUUCCCUCCAGACAUUUCUCCAGAGAUUUGUCCAGGAUUUGCUUCACAGAUUCCUCCAGGGAUAUUUCCAGGGAUUCCUUCAGGGAAUUCUUCAGAAAUUCCUUCAAGGGUUCUUCCUAGAAAUCUGGAAUCAAGGGAUUUUUUCAGAAAUUUCUCCAGCAAUUCUUUCUCGAAUUCCUUUGGAUGAUUUCCCCAGGAUUUUUUCUCGGGAUUUCACCAAGAAUUUAUCCAAGAAAUUUCUCCAGGAAUUCCUGCUGGGUCUAAUCCAAGAAUUCUUCCAGGAAUUACGCCAGGAAUUUGUUCAGAAGUUUCUCCAGACAUUCCUCCAGGAUUCUCUCUAGAGAUUUUUCCAGGAAUUGCUUUAGGGACUCCUCCAGGAUUUUUUUUCAGGGAUUUCUUGAAGAAUUCCUCCAAGGAUUCCUUCUGAAAUUUCUUUUAGAUUUCCUCUAGGAAUUCCUCAAGAGAUUUCUUCUGAAAUUUCUCUUAGAUUCCCUCCAGGAAUUCUUUUGAAUUUUUCCUAAGGAUAUCUCCCAGAAUUUUCCAAGAAUUUCCUACAAUUAAUCCUCCAGAAAUUUAUCUGAGAUGUCUUCUAGGAUUUCCUCAUGAGAUCUCUUCAGAUAUUUUCCUAGGUAUUCUUCCCAUAAUAAUUUGUAUUCAUCCCAUGGCACUCCUAAAGUGAGCAAGGGGGGCCUUACUCAUUUUUGAGCUAAUGCUUGCUAGCCAAAGCAGCAUGAGUAAGCUUCACACAUUGAAGCUUUUCGAAAACAUUCCGGAAGAAUGAGUAACUGUUACACAUAAAUGCGAAUGCUUCGCUUGCUCUGAAAAUUUGUGAUAGUUACUCAUUUGACUAAAUUAAUUAUUGUUUUAAGGUUUUUGAAUAAAAAAAACAGUAGUUUCAUUUAAUUAAUAAUUUAUUUAUUACUAUUACCAAAAUUCGAGUAAAAAAAUAUAAUUCCUUGGGCGAAUAUGUCGUCAAAUUCGUGGCGGUUUGUGUUCCAGCGAUGCAGUUUAUCCAAAGUCUUUAGUUAAUCGCCUAAAUUGAAUAAAAAAAUAAUUCAACAACUUAUUUGAAUAGAUUCCUUACUUUAGAAGAUUUUCCUUGUGAUCAUCACAAAGAAGUAAUUUUUUAUUUUUUGUUGAAAACUUUGACAAAUGCUCGCUUUUUGAAGCGUUUGUCAACACAAGCCAGGAGCUCAAAAUUGAGUAACUGGCCAUCAGCUCACGGUGUGAGUAAGACGUACACAUAAUUUUCACACAUUCUCCCGGAUUUGCAGCGAUGCUCCACAGUGAGUUACUGUUACUCAUGCGAUGUGCAGAGCAGUUUAAGCGUGUUGAGUCUUUCCUUUUAGAAGGUGCGUGCUACCCCGACCUCCCCAACAACUUUUUUUUGUUUGUGUGAAGAUCAUCAUCGCAAGAAACCCCAACGACGAUGA